AAAAAAUAAAGACCGUUUAAGGUGAAAUAAGAGUCAUAUUUCAUUGAUGCGCCUAUAGUAUAACGCUAACAUUUAGCGCGUCUUUACACUAUGUUUGUAUAACGCUAAUGACGUCACGUCAAAAUAUAUGCACGGCCGUGCAAUACCAUAUUUACGGAGUCGCAAAACCGGCACGGGUGUGUGAUAAAGCCAUUUAUUACAUGCUUUUCGGUGGUUUAUAGAAAUAUAUCAGUGAAAUAAAAAACUGAUAAUUUCACUGUUUUAAACAGUGAAAUUACCAAUUUGAUAAUUUCACUGUUUUGAAUAUUUGAGCCCGUUACAAUGUUUCAGUGAAAUACAAGCAUUCACAGUACUGGAAACCAACUUAAUGAGUGCCGUCGUAUAAACGAUGUCUCGUUGCAUUAUCAUUUGGCGCCCUAUUCAUUUAGUCCAGGGUAAAAAUGUUUUUUUAAACGUUUCUUUGCAUAAAAUAAAAAAACAAUUUGUUUAGUUUUAUGUAAGAUCGAAAUAUAUUUCACCUCGUGAGCCACUCGUGAAAUAUACCUUUUGGUGCUCACUCCGUGAAAUAUAUUCCGAUCUUACACUGAACUAAACAAAUAUCCUCUAUUUAAUAAAAACGAUAUUACACUUAGUGUAAUAACACUUUAACGUGACGUCAUUUGCGCUAUAUAGAAACAUAGCGUUAUUAAAGGCGCGCAAAUUUUAGCGUUGCACUAUAGGCGAGUAAUUAAAAAAAAUACUCAUUUUAACAAUUUACUGAUCUUAUUUUAUAUAUGUGAAUAUUACAUUCGUGUAGAUUCAAUACUAAAUUUAUUGAACUCGUUGAAUAAAACAAUAUUUUGCUCGCCAGAGGCUCGCAUAACAUGAUUUUAUUCAACUCGUUCAAUUUAUUUAGUAUUAAACUACACUAAGUCUAAUUUAAUAUCCUCUAUUUCUUUUUAGAUUGUGACUAUGGAGAUAAACAGUCAUAUUGUGUAGGAAUGACAUUACAACUGUGUCAAAAUAACCUUGAAACUUGCUGUAAAACAUGCCAAGAUAUACGAUUAGAUAUUCCAGGUUGUCCUUGGGGUGAUGAAUAUACUGACUGUACUCAGAGUCAUUGCACCAAUGAUUUUUCGAAAUGUUGCCAAACCUGUACCCCAACUACUACAGCUGAUUAUACUACAACGACAAAUACUACCACCUCCGCUAAAUCGAGCCGAGUGCAAGUUAGCCCCGCGUUAUUGUUCUGUUUGUUUUUAUAUCAAUUUUAUUCAGGCAAUAUGUCGAUAUGUUGAUAUAUUUAUUUUUAUUGUACUGGGGUAAAAACUGUGCAUUAAGUUAAACCAUCGGGACCUUUUUAAUGCAUUAUAUUUGCAGAAAUUUUCACCGUGCAACAUGCCGAUACUUUUCUUUCUUUCAUUUUUUAUUGUUACUUCACUUUCAGUCGUCAUGCAACGUUUAAUACAGAUCUAUCCAAGAAAGAGACAUGGACAUAAAUCGAUUAAAUUUUAAAUCAUUUCACUUAAUCGACGAUAUAAUAUAAUCUUUCUCAUAGAAUUUUAGCAAAUUUUGGCAGUUUUUAGUUAAUUCCCAAAGAAAAGUUUUUAAAAGAGCACUUUAAUUAGAAAGGUUAACAAGUAGGAUAGUGAACUUCGUUGUUUUUAUCAUUUUUUUCUUCAAUAAAAUCCAUUUUACCAUGCAAAGCUUAAAAACAUUAUCUGCUCUACUUUUACAUAUUCAUUUUUUGCCGCUGUAAAAUAGGGGGUCUUUAAGUUAAGAGUAAUGCACAAAAAAAACACCCAAAACAAAUGGAUGAAAAUGCACAUACAUAUUGGAUUGUGACUGGCCAUGAGAAACAGUAAACUUGGCAACUAAAUACAUUGUACCACUUUAUCAGUUUUCAAUCUUAAUGAAAUCAAAUCGAGCCUUUAGAUAAAAGUCGUUUGCACUGUUGUCAAUGAUCUGUAGGGGUCCAUGUGAAAGGCGAUGCUAGAUUAUAUAUUAUUACAUAGCAAAUUCAGUAAUAACUUUAGCAAAUCUGUCAGUCAUUUGCUAAAAAAGGAAAUGUAGGUCGGCAACAAGAUAGCUUUAUUUUGAAAGGGCAUGUCAUUUCAUUAUCUCUGGAUUGUUGUCAUUGUUUUUAUACAAAAAAGCCCAUGGUUGAAAUGAACUUUCAUAGAUUAAAUGGUUAUCUUUACAAAAAAAUACAAACAUACUUUGAGUUUUCACUUAUUUUAAAAGUCAUUAGUUAUUAUUCAAACCAUAUUUUCACCAUAUUCAGUUUACCCCUUAAAGGGUAUAAAGCUAUAUUUCAUGAAAUAUUUUUAUAACAUUUAUCAAAAUUUAAAUAAUAAUUUAUAUACAUUUUUUAGCUCACCUGUCACAAAGUGACAGGGUGAGCUUUUGUGGUCGCUUUUCGUCCGGCGUCCGUCCGUCCGUCGUCCGUAAACUUUUGCUUUAAAUGACAUCUCCUCAUAAACCACUGAGCCAAUUUCAUCCAAACUUCACAGGAAUGUUCCUUUGGUGGUCACCUUUAAAAAUUGUUCAAAGAAUUUAAUUCCAUGCAGAACUCUCGUUGCCAUGGCAACCAAAAGAAAAAUAUUUAAAUAUCUUCUUUUAAACAACCUUAAGAGCUAGAGCUUAGAUAUUUGGCAUGAAACAUCUUCUAGUGAAUGUCUACCAAGUUUGUUCAAAUAAAAGCCCUGGGGUCAAAAUUGGCCCCGCCCCAGGGGGUCAUUGAUUUUACCUAUAUGCAUAUAGUAAAAACUUAAAAAAUCUUCUUUUAAAGAACCCAAAGAGCUAGAGCUAAGAUAUUUGGCAUGAAACAUCUUCUAGUGAGUGUCUACCAAGUGUGUUCAAAUAAAAGCCCUGAGGUCAAAAUUGGCCCCGCCCCGGGGGGUCAUUGAUUUUCCCUAUAUGCAUAUAGAAAAAACUUAAAAAUCUUCUUUUAAAAAACCGUAAGAGCUAGAGCUUAGAUAUUUAGCAUGAAACAUCUUCUAGUGAAUGUCUACCAAGUUUGUUCAAAUAAAAGCCCUGGGGUCAAAAUUGGCCCCACCCCAGGGGGUCAUUGAUUUUCCCUAUAUGCAUAUAGUAGAAACUUAAAAAAUCUUCUUUUAAAGAACCCAAAGAGCUAGAGCUAAGAUAUUAAGCAUGAAACAUCUUCUAGUGAGUGUCUACCAAGUUUGUUCAAAUAAAAGCCCUGUGGUCAAAAUUGGCCCCACCCCGGGGGGUCAUUGAUUUUCCCUAUAUCCAUAUACUAAAAACUUAAAAAAUCUUCUUUUAAAGAACCAUAAGAGCUAGAGCUUAGAUAUUUGGCAUGAAACAUCUUCUAGUGAGUGUCUACCAAGUUUGUUCAAAUAAAAGCCCUGGGGUCAAAAUUGACCCCGCCCUAGGGGGUCAUAGAUUUUCCCUAUAUGCAUAUAGUAAAAACUUAAAAAUCUUCUUUUAAAGAACCCAAAGAGCUAGAGCUAAGAUAUUUAGCAUGAAACAUCUUCUAAUGAGUGUCUACCAAGUUUGUUCAAAUAAAAGCCCUGGGGUCAAAAUUGGCCCCGCCCCA